CCUACGGGCGGCAGCAGUGAGGAAUAUUGGUCAAUGGACGAGAGUCUGAACCAGCCAAGUAGCGUGAAGGAUGACUGCCCUAUGGGUUGUAAACUUCUUUUAUAAGGGAAUAAAACUCGGCACGUGUGCCUUUUUGUAUGUACCUUAUGAAUAAGGAUCGGCUAACUCCGUGCCAGCAGCCGCGGUAAUACGGAGGAUCCGAGCGUUAUCCGGAUUUAUUGGGUUUAAAGGGAGCGUAGACGGGUUGUUAAGUCAGUUGUGAAAGUUUGCGGCUCAACCGUAAAAUUGCAGUUGAUACUGGGAGUCUUGAGUACAGUAGAGGUAGGCGGAAUUCGUGGUGUAGCGGUGAAAUGCUUAGAUAUCACGAAGAACCCCGAUUGCGAAGGCAGCUUACUAAACUGUGACUGACACUGAUGUUCGAAAGUGUGGGUAUCAAACAGGAUUAGAUACCCUAGUAGUC
rnacentral:rRNA from 1 species